rnacentral:lncRNA from 1 species
UUUUAGGAGAUUUUUUGCAAAGUUCAGUAACGAUUGGGGGGAUUUUCUCCAAUUAACAUCAGGAAAAUUGGUGAACUGGAAACAAGUUCUUCUUGCGAUACUAAGUUCACAUUGCAACUCACCCAAAUGAAUGCCAAACUGAACAACGACAUUAGCAGAAUGAACACUAACAAUUGAAGGUGAAAUACUAAAAUCACAUUGAUAUAAAAGUCAAUGAAAAUUACAGUGUCCUCCCACAUACAAAAGUGAAGAACUCAAAUUUGUUGUAUAAAUUCCCCACAGUAGCAUCCUUUCCUCGAUUUUAUAGUCACCCAACUGAACUCUAACUGUACAUAACAGAGCACACUACAACUGGCAGAACACAUACUAUACAUCACAAGUGGUAGGGAGCGGUACUAAUGACAACACAACUACUAUUGAAGCAUCCUUCACAUAAUAUUUGCUGCGAGAUUCCGCGGGAGGUGAUGAUUAGCAGUUAGAAGGAAAAAAUUUCCGCCAAAGGCGCUUGACUUCGACCAAAGUUUUCGCCUCCAAGGGUUUUCUCUGGUUUGCGGGAGAGUGAAAAUGAGAGAUUGCUGCGAUGGAUGGUGUUUAAGAGGACAAAUUUUUGCCGACGAUGGAAGCUGGACUUCGAUCUCUAUUUUCGCCUCCAAGGGUUUCCUUUCAUUAGAGGGAUUUGUGGGAAAUUGAAAUGAAAGGAAGACUACCGUAUCAACCAUCUAAUUGGGCCGGUUCAAGUUUUGACCCAACAACUUUGUUUUGUUUUCAAAAGAAUUUGAAAUCCCUCUGCUGCCACGUCAGGGUGUAAGCGACCUUGUCAAACUACAUGUACCCAUAGCACGAUUGUAAGUAAUUUAUAUUUGCACUUUCCC